GUGCUUACUUCGGCAGCACACGUACUAAGAUUGGAACGGCACAGAGAAGGUUAGCAUGGCCCCUGCGCAAGGAUGACACGCAAAUCUGUGAAGCGUUUCAUAUUUAA